GAUGGCGACCGGCGCACGGGUGAGUAACACGUAUCCAACCUGCCGUCUACUCUUGGCCAGCCUUCUGAAAGGAAGAUUAAUCCAGGAUGGGAUCAUGAGUUCACAUGUCCGCAUGAUUAAAGGUAUUUUCCGGUAGACGAUGGGGAUGCGUUCCAUUAGAUAGUAGGCGGGGUAACGGCCCACCUAGUCGACGAUGGAUAGGGGUUCUGAGAGGAAGGUCCCCCACAUUGGAACUGAGACACGGUCCAAACUCCUACGGGAGGCAGCAGUGAGGAAUAUUGGUCAAUGGGCGAUGGCCUGAACCAGCCAAGUAGCGUGAAGGAUGACUGCCCUAUGGGUUGUAAACUUCUUUUAUAAAGGAAUAAAGUCGGGUAUGCAUACCCGUUUGCAUGUACUUUAUGAAUAAGGAUCGGCUAACUCCGUGCCAGCAGCCGCGGUAAUACGGAGGAUCCGAGCGUUAUCCGGAUUUAUUGGGUUUAAAGGGAGCGUAGAUGGAUGUUUAAGUCAGUUGUGAAAGUUUGCGGCUCAACCGUAAAAUUGCAGUUGAUACUGGAUGUCUUGAGUGCAGUUGAGGCAGGCGGAAUUCGUGGUGUAGCGGUGAAAUGCUUAGAUAUCACGAAGAACUCCGAUUGCGAAGGCAGCCUGCUAAGCUGCAACUGACAUUGAGGCUCGAAAGUGUGGGUAUCAAACAGGAUUAGAUACCCUGGUAGUCCACACGGUAAACGAUGAAUACUCGCUGUUUGCGAUAUACGGCAAGCGGCCAAGCGAAAGCGUUAAGUAUUCCACCUGGGGAGUAC
rnacentral:rRNA from 1 species